rnacentral:rRNA from 1 species
AGGCGACGACGGGUAGCCGGCCUGAGAGGGUGAUCGGCACAUUGGGACUGAGAUACGGCCCAGACUCCUACGGGAGGCAGCAGUGGGGAAUAUUGCACAAUGGGCGGAAGCCUGAUGCAGCGACGCCGCGUGAGGGAUGACGGCCUUCGGGUUGUAAACCUCUUUCAGCAGGGACGAAGCGUAAGUGACGGUACCUGCAGAAGAAGCACCGGCUAACUAUGUGCCAGCAGCCGCGGUAAUACGUAGGGUGCGAGCGUUGUCCGGAAUUACUGGGCGUAAAGAGCUCGUAGGCGGUUUGUCACGUCGUCUGUGAAAUCCUAGGGCUUAACCCUGGACGUGCAGGCGAUACGGGCUGACUUGAGUACUACAGGGGAGACUGGAAUUUCUGGUGUAGCGGUGGAAUGCACAGAUAUCAGGAAGAACACCGAUGGCGAAGGCAGGUCUCUGGGUAGUAACUGACGCUGAGGAGCGAAAGCAUGGGUAGCGAACAGGAUUAGAUACCCUGGUAGUCCAUGCCGUAAACGGUGGGCGCUAGGUGUGGGGUUCCUUCCACGGGCUCCGCGCCGUAGCUAACGCAUUAAGCGCCCCGCCUGGGGAGUACGGCCGCAAGGCUAAAACUCAAAGAAAUUGACGGGGGCCCGCACAAGCGGCGGAGCAUGUGGAUUAAUUCGAUGCAACGCGAAGAACCUUACCUGGGCUUGACAUAUAGAGGAUCGCUACAGAGAUGUGGUUUCCCUUGUGGCUUCUAUACAGGUGGUGCAUGGUUGUCGUCAGCUCGUGUCGUGAGAUGUUGGGUUAAGUCCCGCAACGAGCGCACCCUUGUCUUAUGUUGCCMGCACGUUAUGGUGGGGACUCGUGAGAGACUGCCGGGGUCAACUCGGAGGAAGGUGGGGAUGACGUCAAAUCAUC